GCUAGCUCAGUGCUGGCAGUCCCUGAUCCCGGGAUUUGAUCCUGCUCUGAAUACUUCUCCAUAAAUACAGCACAUUGAUGCCACGUGCCCACACAGAUGGAUGACACAGGGCCCUGGCAGUCAGACAGAGUGCAUGCAGUAGUCAAGGCACCAGCAAGAUCACAGGAUCUGAGAUCAGCAGGAACCUUGAUGGUACCACAGAGCCUAUUUUAAACUCAGGAGACUGAGGAGCAAUUUUUGUAGUCUUGGCCAGUAUGGACCAAAAUAAAUUUAUUUCUACAGUUUGAGAACUGUUGCCUCAAAAAAAUGUUGGACUUUUUAUGAAGUUUAGGUAAAAAGGAAACAUAGAACCCAUGCCUAGAAAUCCUACUUCCAUGGGAGAAAGCCCACCAGGAAAACUGCUUGGAAAGUUUAAGGAAUGUGACUUUUAAAUUAUUAAAAAGAAAGACAAUGAAAUACAAGAAAAGUUCAGAGACAGAAGGGGUUGAUCCAAAGCCAGCAGGCUUUGUCCUGGUGAAAAACCCAGCACACAGCACACUUCCUCAUGUUGCUGGGUUUAUUCCUCCAAUGACUUCCCAUGGACUGUAGCCAGCCAGGCUCCUCUGUGCAUGGAAUUCUCCAGGCAAGAAUACUGGAGUGGGCUGCCAUUUUCUUCUCCAGAGGAUCUUCCUGACCCAGGGGUCAAACCUGUGCCUCCGGCAUUGCAGGCAGAUUCUUUACAACCCGAACCACCAGGGAAGCCAUUGCACUUUACAUGGUGCCAAUUUAAAAUUCAGUUUAAGUAAAUUUUUUCAGGUUAAGUAAUUCCUAAGACCCAAAAAGCCCCCCCUUGAUGUUAUCUGCACAGUGGUGAAUGUAGUCUGCAAGAACACCCUCUUCCCUGAAGACCUCAAGUCACCAGCCUUUACCACACGUGUCUCCCAUCACAUCCGUCCGCCGGUGUCAUGGGCUCUCUGCCCGACUCUGCACAGAACUGUUGCUGACGGCAUCUCUUCUAGGCAGGGAGUCAUUCUGUCAGCCAUCACCUAAAUUUCAACGUCCUGCCGUGUGAGUUACACCCCUUACAGACACUCUCUCUCUCCUGGGCACGAGGCUCCCUGGUUCAGAUCAUCCAUGACCCAUUUCUCUACACUCAAGGAGUUAUCUGGCCACGUUGGCUCCAGCUCUAAUGGAGUGAGUUGAGCAGUGAUGGACCCAGAGGAGAGUGGAGACAACAGGGCAUGAAGGAGAAAUAUAUUUUCAUGUUUGCUUACAAGGAACUCUAGAAGGAUCUGUAAGAAACAAAAUACUACCUGUGGAGGUCAGAUGGCCCUGGACACACAGACUAAAUGACAGGAGGCACAGAUUAGUGCAAAGUGUAUUUUCAGUAUCUGGAAUCAUGUGCC
ensembl:lncRNA